rnacentral:piRNA from 1 species
CCAUAAUAUCUGCUUGAAGCUUUCUUGGA